UUGUACUAUCUUGUCUGUGGUUCGAGGGUGUGAUUAGCACAGCACUAUAGGCGGAACAUUCGAGAACCGUAAGACAAUUCGUAUAAA
rnacentral:pre_miRNA from 1 species